GUCAUUCCUCGUGGAUUGUUUACAUUUGUGUUGCAGACGGUUUACGGGAUCCCAUUGAGGAAGCGAUUGCUUCAGGAUCAUGAAACUUCAUUCAUCCCUGCAUCACACUAUGAGGCAAGCAAGUGGAGAAAGUCAUUUAACCAUAAAAAUGGAGAGAAAAACAUGUUUUUACACUUUUUUGAGAUACCAAGUUUCUUACAGUGAUGAUAUUUAGACAGUAAAAUUCUGGGAUGAAGGACUAUCAAGUUUGUUCAUAUGAAUGACUUUCACCCAUGGUCUCAAGGGUCAAAUGGAUUAAAACAGUUCAGCGACUUCUGCUGAAU